rnacentral:rRNA from 1 species
CCUACGGGAGGCAGCAGUGAGGAAUAUUGGUCAAUGGACGAGAGUCUGAACCAGCCAAGUAGCGUGAAGGAUGACUGCCCUAUGGGUUGUAAACUUCUUUUAUAUGGGAAUAAAAUGUUCCACGUGUGGGUUUUUGUAUGUACCAUAUGAAUAAGGAUCGGCUAACUCCGUGCCAGCAGCCGCGGUAAUACGGAGGAUCCGAGCGUUAUCCGGAUUUAUUGGGUUUAAAGGGAGCGUAGGUGGAUUGUUAAGUCAGUUGUGAAAGUUUGCGGCUCAACCGUAAAAUUGCAGUUGAAACUGGCAGUCUUGAGUACAGUAGAGGUGGGCGGAAUUCGUGGUGUAGCGGUGAAAUGCUUAGAUAUCACGAAGAACUCCGAUUGCGAAGGCAGCUCACUGAACUGCAACUGACACUGAGGCUCGAAAGUGUGGGUAUCAAACAGGAUUAGAUACCCCAGUAGUC